rnacentral:rRNA from 1 species
GGCAAGCGUUGUCCGGAUUUAUUGGGCGUAAAGAGCUCGUAGGCGGUCUGUCGCGUCGGUCGUGAAAACUUGGGGCUUAACCCUGAGCUUGCGGUCGAUACGGGCAUGACUGGAGUUCGGUAGGGGAGACUGGAAUUCCUGGUGUAGCGGUGAAAUGCGCAGAUAUCAGGAGGAACACCGGUGGCGAAGGCGGGUCUCUGGGCCGAUACUGACGCUGAGGAGCGAAAGCGUGGGGAGCGAACAGG